AUACGGAGGGUGCAAGCGUUACUCGGAAUCACUGGGCGUAAAGCGCGCGCAGGCGGCUUGAUAAGUUGGAUGUGAAAGCCUACGGCUCAACCGUAGAACUGCAUCCAAAACUGUCAAGCUAGAGUCUGGGAGGGGAAGAUGGAAUUAGUUGUGUAGGGGUAAAAUCCGUAGAGAUAACUAGGAAUACCAAUAGCGAAGGCGAUCUUCUGGAACAGUACUGACGCUGAGGCGCGAAAGCGUGGGGAGCAAACAGGAUUAGAAACCCGGGUAGUCC
rnacentral:rRNA from 1 species